rnacentral:rRNA from 1 species
UACGUAGGGUGCAAGCGUUAAUCGGAAUUACUGGGCGUAAAGCGUGCGCAGGCGGUUGUGCAAGACAGAUGUGAAAUCCCCGGGCUUAACCUGGGAACUGCAUUUGUGACUGCACGGCUAGAGUGCGGCAGAGGGGAUGGAAUUCCGCGGUGUAGCAGUGAAAUGCGUAGAUAUGCGGAGGAACACCGAUGGCGAAGGCAAUCCCCUGGGCCUGCACUGACGCUCAUGCACGAAAGCGUGGGGAGCAAACAGG